CCUACGGGAGGCAGCAGUGAGGAAUAUUGGUCAAUGGCCGGAAGGCUGAACCAGCCAAGCCGCGUGAAGGACGAAGGUGCCAAGCAUUGUAAACUUCUUUUGUCAAGGGACAAAAUCAGGAUCGAGAGCCGGACCGAGGGGACUGGAAGAAAAAGCAUCGGCUAACUCCGUGCCAGCAGCCGCGGUAAUACGGAGGAUGCGAGCGUCAUCCGGAUUUAUUGGGUUUAAAGGGUGCGUAGGCGGACUGUUAAGUCAGCGGUACAAGCCCGGGGAUCAACCCCGGCGAGCCGUUGAAACUGGCUGUCUUGAGUUGUCGAGAGGUAUGCGGAAUGCGCAGUGUAGCGGUGAAAUGCUUAGAUAUUGCGCAGAACUCCGAUUGCGAAGGCAGCAUACCGGCGGCGCUCUGACGCUGAGGCACGAAAGCGUGGGUAUCGAACAGGAUUAGAUACCCCAGUAGUC
rnacentral:rRNA from 1 species